CUGCCUCAGCCUCUCAAGUUCUGGGAUUUCAGGUGUCAACGUAAGGUCCCUCCCUGUGAGCCUGGGCAAGACCUCCCAGAGAGGCAGCUCUAGGAAAAGGGUCAGUGCCUAAGGACCGAGGCUGUUGGGAGAAGAAAGAAAGGUAAUUUCUUCUUCAAUGGACAGAAUGAAGUGUAGCAUUUCCGGAAGGCCAGGGGGAGUGUUUCUAAGCUUGGGACUGGGAGGUUUCAAUGUUACCUCACUAAAAUUUCUGGCAAAGAAAGCAAGAGAUCAGACCCAAGGGCAAACACUAUGUAUUCUCCUAGACAAUGCCGUCAUAAUCCGCAUGUGCCUAAAAGGGAAACAACCAGCCAGGCAAGGUGGCACACAUCUGCAAUCCCAGCACUCUGGGAGGGCGAGGCAGGGGGACUGAACAUUCAAGCCCAGCCCGGGCAACUUGGCAGCAUGUCUCAAAGUGAAGUUUUUUAAAAGGCUGGUGAUAUGGUCCAGUGCGAAGUCACUGUGUUCGUUCCUCAGUAAAGGGGCAGGGUAACGGGUGGGGGGGAUGAUUUCAUUCAGAAGGGAAAAGGAUGCCUAAAUGGGGACAAUGACUGAGUAGGGAGAAUCUAGCCUGAAAAAAGAAGCAGGGUAAGCCAGGAGUGGUGGUGCAUGCCUAAAUCCCCAGCACUCAGAGGCUGAGGCAGAAGGAUUGCCAAGUUCAAGCCCAGCCUGGACAACUUUGUGCCUUAGCAAGACUAAGACCAGGUGUCAAGGUCUCAAAAUAAAAAAUAAAAGGCUGGGGAUGUAGCUCAGUGCAAAGGCCCUGGGUUCAAUUACCAGCACUGCAAAGCCAAAUGAAAAAGGGGACAGCCGAGGAUGGGCACAGUACCUGCGGUAAGAGUGAGCAGAAGCAAACAUCUAUACUGAACAAACAAGCAACUAAAGGCCCAUGUGGACAAAACCAAGUGCCAUGUCAUUUGUUUUAUUGGUCACACAGCCAGAAUUCAUUAUAUAAAUCUUUCAAAAUAAUGAGCUAUUAUAAGAAUAGUUUACAAGUCAGCUCUGAUUGCACAAAACUUGACACAGGAAACCAUUUUUACAAAUACAUAUGUUUUCUUAUAAGAAUACUUUAAUAAAGAAAAUAAGUCUCUAUACGUCUUGCAGCAAAUCUUACGCAGUUUCUUUUCCCCAUUCAACUAUCAUUUUGGGUUUUCUUAUAACAUGUCAAUCAUAUCCAACAAACUCAUCUGCACCUUCUCAAUUUCAAAUACUACUGAGAUUCACACUGUUAAAAGAGAUUUUAGGCUUCCCUUUCUACUCUUUCCUGAAAGAAUUCACGUAUUCAGGCUAAAAGAGGUAAUUUAAACAACAUUCCUUCAAAGUAGAACUGGGAUCAAGGGCUGGGGUGCAGAGCAGUGGUAGAGCACUCGCCUGGUGUGUGCGAGACCCUGGGUUCGAUCCUCAGCACCGCACAAGAAAGAAAGAAAGAUCAGCUUCAUCACUGUGUUUGGUGAAAGACCUCUUCACUUCCCACUCAGGCCAGAGCAGCUAACAACUCAGACCCUCCUGCCUCAGUCCUAAACUACAAAAAGGGAACCCUGGAAACAAGAGUCAAAUACAAA